rnacentral:rRNA from 1 species
GACGAACGCUGGCGGCGUGCUUAACACAUGCAAGUCGAACGGAAAGGCCCCUUUGGGGGUACUCGAGUGGCGACCGGGUGAGUAACACGUGAGUAACCUGCCCUUGACUUCGGGAUAACUUCAGGAAACUGGGGCUAAUACCGGUUAGGAAUCCUUGCUGCAUGGUGGGGGUUGGAAAGUUUCGGGGGUUUUGGAUGGACUGGCGGCUUAUCAGCUUGUUGGUGGGGUAGUGGAUUACCAAGGCUUUGACGGGUAGCCGGCCUGAGAGGGCGACCGGCCACAUUGGGACUGAGAGACGGCCCAGACUGCUACGGGAGGCAGAAGGGGGGAAUAUUGCACAAUGGGCGGAAGCCUGAUGAAGCAACGCCGCGGGCGGGAUGACGGCCUUCGGGUUGAAAACCGCUUUCAGCAGGGGCGAAGCUUGUGGUGACGGUACCUACAGAAGAAGCACCGGCUAACUACGUG